CUGAAUAACUACAGCUGAUCGCACAGUCUUCGCACUGGCGACAAAUCUUUCAAGUGUCUGCCUUAUCAGCUGUCGAUGGUAGUCUACGUGGCUACCAUGGCUGUAACGGGUAACGGAGAAUAAGGGUUCGACUCCGGAGAGGGAGCCUGAGAAACGGCUACCACAUCCAAGGAAGGCAGCAGGCGCGCAAAUUACCCACUCUCGGCAUGAGGAGGUAGUGACGAAAAAUAACGAGGUGGUUCUCAUUGAGGCCCACUAUCGGAAUGGGUACAAUUUAAACCCUUUAACGAGGACCUAUGAGAGGGCAAGUCUGGUGCCAGCAGCCGCGGUAAUUCCAGCUCUCAAGGUGUAUAUCGCCAUUGCUGCGGUUAAAAA
rnacentral:rRNA from 1 species